rnacentral:rRNA from 1 species
GACGAACGCUGGCGGCGUGCCUAAUACAUGCAAGUAGAACGCUGAAGAGAGGAGCUUACUCUUCUUGGAUGAGUUGCGAACGGGUGAGUAACGCGUAGGUAACCUGCCUUGUAGCGGGGGAUAACUAUUGGAAACGAUAGCUAAUACCGCAUAACAAUGGAUGACACAUGUCAUUUAUUUGAAAGGGGCAAUUGCUCCACUACAAGAUGGACCUGCGUUGUAUUAGCUAGUAGGUGAGGUAAUGGCCCACCUAGGCGACGAUACAUAGCCGACCUGAGAGGGUGAUCGGCCACACUGGGACUGAGACACGGCCCAGACUCCUACGGGAGGCAGCAGUAGGGAAUCUUCGGCAAUGGGGGCAACCCUGACCGAGCAACGCCGCGUGAGUGAAGAAGGUUUUCGGAUCGUAAAGCUCUGUUGUAAGUCAAGAACGGGUGUGAGAGUGGAAAGUUCACACUGUGACGGUAGCUUACCAGAAAGGGACGGCUAACUACGUG